AGAGUUUGAUCCUGGCUCAGGAUGAACGCUAGCGACAGGCCUAACACAUGCAAGUCGAGGGGCAGCACAUGAGUAGCAAUACGAUGGUGGCGACCGGCGCACGGGUGAGUAACACGUAUGCAACCUGCCUUCUACUAUGGGAUAACCCGUUGAAAAACGGACUAAUACCGUAUAAUACAGGGGCUCCGCAUGGAGAUAUUUGUUAAAGAUUAAUUGGUAGAAGAUGGGCAUGCGUAUGAUUAGAUAGUUGGUGAGGUAACGGCUCACCAAGUCAACGAUCAUUAGGGGUUCUGAGAGGAAGGUCCCCCACACUGGUACUGAGACACGGACCAGACUCCUACGGGAGGCAGCAGUGAGGAAUAUUGGUCAAUGGACGAGAGUCUGAACCAGCCAAGUCGCGUGAAGGAAGACGGUUCUAUGAAUUGUAAACUUCUUUUGUACAGGAAUAAAGUGGAUUACGUGUAAUCUUUUGUAUGUACUGUACGAAUAAGGAUCGGCUAACUCCGUGCCAGCAGCCGCGGUAAUACGGAGGAUCCGAGCGUUAUCCGGAUUUAUUGGGUUUAAAGGGUGCGUAGGUGGAUUGAUAAGUCAGUGGUGAAAGUUUGCAGCUUAACUGUAAAAUUGCCGUUGAAACUGUCGGUCUUGAGUGCAAAUGAGGUAGGCGGAAUGUGUUGUGUAGCGGUGAAAUGCUUAGAUAUAACACAGAACUCCGAUUGCGAAGGCAGCUUACUGGGAUGCAACUGACACUGAUGCACGAAAGCGUGGGUAUCAAACAGGAUUAGAUACCCUGGUAGUCCACGCAGUAAACGAUGAAUACUAGCUGUAUGCGAUACACCGUAUGUGGCACAGCGAAAGCGUUAAGUAUUCCACCUGGGGAGUACGUUCGCAAGAAUGAAACUCAAAGGAAUUGACGG
rnacentral:rRNA from 1 species